AAAGUUUAUGUAAGUCACAAAGGUCUGAGCAAGUCAUAGAAGGUUUGAAAGGAUACAUUUUUUAAAAAAUGUGUAUUUGAGUCUAACACUAUAGAUACUAUGCUGUGAUAAGAUAAUUUGUGAUUAACACUCAGCAGUCAAUCAUGUCUAAUGAGUUUGCUUCUUCCUGUGCUACUUGUUAGACAUAAAUGAAACUGAGCGACCUCAGAUCAGCAUUCAUAUGAAAUUUGAUGUCAGUCUGGACACUUUAAUACUUAGUUAUUUGUUUCUGUUUUCAAAACAUCUAUUUUACCAAAAAAAUAAGUAUAAUUUAAAAAUUAGACAACUAAAGGUUAGUACUAUUGGUUGAACUCUGUAAUUAACACACAAUUAUUCUUAGGUGUUUAAAUUUAACUGAAAAGUGAUCCCUGUUAAAUAUAAGAGUGGGAAUAAGAGAGGGAGGAGAUGUACAAUUUGGGACAUGCUCAAGCUGACUUGACCCAAAUGGUGGAGUUAGAAAUCUGCCAGGGGAUUCCAAUACAAUCCCAUCAAGGUUGCAUGUACCAAUGCCAUCUCACUAGUCCAAGUGAUCAAUUUCAGUUCACAAUUGAUCACACUGAUAGGUCUAAGAGUCAAAGGGAUCACACAAACAAGACUAGUGUCUGAUAAUACUAACUGAUAGAAUUAAAAAGGAGAGAACAAUCCAACAUGGGAAGUGGGAUACACAGCAGACUCAUAGAAUGGCAGAUGUCCUAACAGCACUCUGGUCUCAGAAUCAGCCCCUUAAGGCAGUUGAAUCUGGCUGAAGAGCCCGUGAGAGUAUUUUAGGCAUGGAAAACCAAGACACUCUGGAAAAAAAAAAAAAAAGACCUAAAUGAAAGAUCUCUGUGAGAUCCCAGUGGCAAGAACAGGGCGAUCAAAGAAGGAGGUACCUUUCUCUGAAGGGACGAGAGAACUUCCACCUUGACUAUGACCCUGUCUGAAUAAGAUUGAAAUCGGCGAACUCAAGAGGCUUCCAUAACACACAGCAGACUCAUAGAAUGGCAGCACUCCUGCCUCAGAAUCAACCCUUGGGACAUUCAGAUCUGGCUAAAAGGUCCUUGAGAGUCUCACAGGCAUGGAAAGCCAUGACACGGUGGCAAAAAACAAUCUAAAUGAAAGAUCCUGGUGAACAAGACCCCAGCAGAAGGAACAGGCCAUCAAGCAGAGAGGCGCCUUUCUCUGAAGGGAGGAAGGAACCUCCACUGUGAUACAGCCUUGACUAAACAAGUUCAGAAUCAGUGAACUCAAGGGGCUUCCAUAGCCUAGACAGCUCAUAGCAAGAGUCUCGGAUGAUUGCUGACGUCAUAAAUAAGAGUGCCAAUUGUUAAAUCAACAAUGGGAGUCACUUGGUACAUGCUCCCCAUGUAGGAUCUCUGUCCUUAAUGUGUUCUACUAUGAAACUUAAAAACAACACUACUAGUCGAACAAUACCCUAUACCUUGUGUGAUUGUGUUCUUCCUGUUUACUUUCAAAUGGAUUCAUCACUUGUUCCAAUGGCACUUGAAUCUCGAACUAGCAAGCCAACAAAUUUACUCCAUUCAUUUUCUCCUGAGUUUGCCUGCUUUUACUGAUAAUCUUCUGCUUCAAAAAAGCCUGCCUUCCCUGGCAGAACCUGCUGGUCUGCUUGGUUGACCGUCUCUUGCAAAACAAUUGCACCGAUAAACUGAGGGACUGGAGGGGAGAUUAUAUUAUCACCAUUUUACAGAUGAAGAAACUGGCUGAGAGAAAUUGCUUAAGGACAGACGUAACAAUUGAUGAAGUAUGGAUUAGAAACCCAGUUGGUCUGACCCUCAAGACCAUGUUCAGGUGGCAUAUGGCCACAUGUUCUGAAAAUCCCAGCAUCAUUUCCUGUUGGAGGCAAUAUGAAUUUGAGAGUUGACACAGGGGCACUGGGACGUCUCUAGGAGUCAGCCCUUUGGGCACAGGAGUUAGCCAUCAUUUGCAAACUCUCCACCGACUGGAAGCAAAGCUGGAAGACAGGGCUGCCAAAGCCAAUCAUUGCAACCUGUAGCAGGCUCUCCUGCCCCCCGUCUGCCCCUACCCUCGGAGAGGGCUUCCUCCCCUCAGCGCUCCUGACCAGCGUGGCUGGCUGCUGCUAUCCUUGCACCUGUCGCACCUCCGGUUUUUGGCAGAAUGAAGUGAGGAGACAGCUGGAGUCAUCAUAGUUCAUCUGUUUGAAGGUUGCCCAAAUGAAAAACAAACAAACAAAUCUGGUGGCCUAUUGAUUUCAAAAAGAUUGAGUAGAGGAAAAAAUACGUAAUGAAAAUGAAGAAUGAAAAUUGUUCCUUUCUGCUUCCGCCAAGAGCUGACAUUUGAAUAUCUGAGUUAUUUGGACUGGGACCCUCAAUAGAGAUUUAGAAGCACAGAGAUAGGUAUGUAAUUUCUAGAAACAAGUGCUGAGGGAAGCUGUGUGGUCAAGUGCUCUGGGAGUAGCAAGACCUCCAUAUUUUUUGACAAGUGCAAAUUUAUUUUCUAAUAUUAUCGGUAUCAGAGGUUCUCUGCUCUUACCAAAAAAGGCGACAUUCAUGUAUUUUUAAGGACGUAAAACUCUUUCACAUUUUCCCCUCUUAAUUUCCUAGGAAAUUAAACAAAAUCAAAACAACUAAGUGACUAAAUAACAACAGCACAACAAAACCAAACGAGGGGUCUGCAUUGUGGCACAGUGGGUUAAGAUUCCAAGUGCUUGGGCCCCUGCCACCCACAUGGGACAUCUGGAUGGAGUCCCUGGCUCUUGGCUUCAGCCUGGCCUAGCUCCAGCCAUUGAAGUCAUUUGUUGAGUGAAGCAGUGAAUGGAAGAUAUCUCUCGCUCUUGCUCUAUAACUCUGCAUUUCAAAUAAGUAAAUCUUUAAAACAAAACAAAACGAGAGCCAAUUCUUGUCUGUAAUGGGUUCUGUUACAGAACACUCCCCAAAUUGGGUCUACUCUCCUGAUGCAUAGCAGGCCAAUUAUUGACACUGGGCUGGUUGGUGGAAGAAAGCCUUUUGUUUGUCAUGUACAGAGCAAGCAAUCACGCAGCUAAUGCUCAAUUCCUGGACUUCCCAAGGGAUGAAAGGAGGUGAAUCUUAUAAUUCAAAGUUGGGGGUGAGCAGUGCAUGACCAGCUCAUGUGAGGCCUCUGGUUGGUUCAGAGUACUCAGGGCCUUCCUUUGACUGGUCAGUAAUAGGGGCCAGUGUGUUUAUUCUGAUAUGGCAAAGGUGUUCUCAGGUUUAUCUGGGCCAAAGGGUAGAUUGGGUAUUUGUUUGAUCAGGGCUUCUCAUGUUUAACUAUAGGGGCAAUUCCAGCGUUUAUGAUUCAGGGUCUUGCUUCUGGCUUUACUAGGUGUCACUCCCUAAAUUUAAUGAGUUAAUCUUUAUUUACAGAGGACCUGCAAACCAAGGAAGAGAUCCUGGGGUCUAAAUCAAAGGCAUUAGGGCUAGAGGCAUGGUUUCAGGACUAAUGCUUUUAAAGUGAAACAAAUAAAUUUUAUGUGAAACCAGUUGUCAUUAACCAUUACAUUCUCAUUUUAUGAGAUUAAAAUAAGAAAAACACAGUUCUGUUUGCAGGUUUUAUUUUUCUAGCAUACUUAGCGUUUUUGGUAAAAUUUGUGGCCUGAACCCCUAUUAAUUAAUUAAUCCCUGGUUAUUAAUGUUUAUGAAAUCUUGCAUUUUAACACCAUUAAGAUAAUCAAAAUAGACUCAUCCCUUCACAUUCCAAAUGUAGAGAUGUUUACGAGUUAUCUGAAUAACUGGAUCCUGCUUUUUGUUCCAUGGCCAGGUCCCACUGCCAUAGCAAAUAAGGAACAUUAUUUCUCCCUGGUGAUGAGGUAAUGAUCUUGCUGUCAUGAUUUGCUAAGUUGAAAAUGUCCUUUAGACACAUACAAAUGUGUGCUUUUUAUUGGACAAAGUAUUUCAAUUCCAAUUGCUCAUUUCUCUCACUGGAAUUGUGGACUUUUAAAUUCAAAUAGUAUUUUAACAGCUGGUCCCAAUAACAAAAGGACACUAGUUUAAAUGUCCCAUAAAAUGUGUAAGGUCAAGGACAUCCAAUUUUUCCCUUCUUUAUUCUUCAAAUACUCUGUAGUUGCACUUCUUCUGUGCCUCCUUGAGGACCCUGAGGAGAACUGCAUAAAAUAGACCCUUCUAGUGCAGGGUUGAGUCCCAGCUGCUCUACUUCUGAUCCAGCUCCCUGCUAUUGUGCCUGAUAAAGCAGUGGAAGAUGGUCCAACCACUUGGGCCCCGGCACCCAUGUGGGAGACCCAGAAGAAGCUCCUGGCUACUGGCUUUGGUAUGGCCCAGCCCUGGCCAUUACAGCCAUUUGGGGAGUGAAUCAGUGGAUGGAAGAUCUCUCUCUCACUCACUCACUCAUUCUUUCAAAUAAAAAAAGUAAAUCUUAAAAAAAUAGACUCCUCCAUAGCUGUGAGAAGGAAAGUCUACAUUUCCUGCUAGCCUAUCUUUAUCAACAGAUUUUUUUUCCCGCAGAAGUUUCCUUUUUUAUAGAAAAGGUUUUCAUUGAUUAAUUGAUUGAAUUAUAAUACAGAGAGGGAGGGUGGGGAGAGAGAGAUUAAUCGAUCUUCCAUGCACCCACUGUUUCAUUUUCCAAAUGCCCACAAAAACACAAGGCUGGGCCAGGCUGAAGCCAGGACAGCGUGAACUCCAUCCUGGUUUCCCACAUGAGUUUAAGGUACACAGGCUCUGGGACUAUCAGUCACUGCUUUCCCAGGUGCAUUAAGAGGAAGCUAGGUGGGAAGUAGAGCAGCUGGGACUCAGUCCUGCUCUCCAAUUACGGGAUGCCAGCUUCGCAAGUGUCAAAACACCUGCCCCACACAGAAGUUUCUGAGUCUUGUUUAUCAAUUUGGAAGAUAGAAACAGCCAUGUCAGUAUCACCUCUCAAUUCUAGGGGUUUCUGUGGCUUCUUUCAUGUAACCAAUGACAUUUACUAUCUUUCAUUCUUUAGCAACCAUUAUCAAAUCAGGAUUGACUGCUGAAGCAUUAUUGUCAGCAGCUACAGUAAAAACAGCCUCUGCAGCAGUAACUCAAAGCUGGCUGGCCCUCAGUUCAUACUUCACACCGGCAAGCAGCCAGUUCCUCAUCUAGUGUGUGCUGCUUUCUCAACUACGUUUCCUUCUCCCAAGGUAUCAUCCUGUCACUCCCUAGAAACUCUUGGGUUUCUGUUAGUCCAAGAGCAGCUACGCAUAGAAUAGCUUUCUUAUCAACUCUGUCAUGGAUUUUAAAACUGCCAGUAAAACACCAAUUAACAUAACAUUUCACUUGAAAAAUGAGAAAAAUCUCUCAGCAUUUUUGAAACCAUAAAGCAGUCAUAGCUUUAAAAACCAUUAAUCAUCAUAAUAUCUUUUCAAGAACUCUCUUUGUCCCCAGAAUCUGCAAAUAAUCUGCCCCAGACUUUCUUUAAAAAUCCACACCUUUCAGUUUACAAACAUGGGAGAGACUCUGGUUAUUUGAAACAUGCAUGUUCAAUAAUAGCAAACUGAGUUUGCACUAAUUUAAUACCAAUGUCAGUAUAAGGAGAGGAGAAGGCUAUGCAGUGAUCUUGGCAAUAUACACAAGCAAAUAUAACUUUUGACCCUUCUAAGCCUAGAACUAAUUACUAAGCUCCUUUUUGGCAAGGACUCUUGCUUUCUUUGUGUCUCUUUAUGUCUGUCACACAAUUGAGCAUGUAGUAAGUGCUUAAUAAACAAUCUGAAUAAUUAUGACUUUUUCAGUUCAGAAAUCAAACUCAUCAAAAAAACUAAGAAAAAUGUAGGAAGAGGAAAAAAUUCACUUAAGACCUGAAAACUUGAAUAGCAUCACAGUUGGGAUUUAAAUCUAUACUUUGAAGCAAGGUCUCUGUUGACUGUGCUUUGCCCCUGUCAGGCCUUUAGUUCAGCCCACUCUUUCUCACUCCCUUAAGCCCUAAAAAUAGUUCUUAAAUGCCCUUUUUUUUUUGAAAAAUUCCUACCUGCCCAACCCUUGACCACAGCUGGAAGAAUGAAGACAUCAUGUUCCUUCUGUUAUACCUGUCUUGCAAGGCUUAGGGGAAUCGAAGAAUCUGCAGAUAGAAAGCAUUGUCUGACUAGUUUUGCCCAUUCCUCUGGCUACUCAGCCAUUUGCUUCAUUCAACAAACAUGUGCUUUGUGCUCACUAUGCACCAGCCCAUCCCAUUGUACUCUGCGAAAUCAAUGGUGAACAACACAUACCUGAUUGACCUCUGUCCCAGGGCUCACAGUCUGAUGAGAGAGAAAGGCUCUUCACAUUAAGCAGGGAAGUAGAACAUGUAGAAUUCUGAGAAAAUUAGGAAGUCAAGAGGACAAGAAAAGAAUAUCUGAUGUAGGUUCCUUGAUUUCCUAUUUGGCCAAACGCUUUUUUUUUUUUUCCCCUUCACUUGGUUUGUUUGAAAACAAGCCCUACUCUCCAGUGGCAUGCCAAGGGUCUCUGCAUAAAAAAGGGUGGUUUAAGGCAAUGUACUUGCCCUGGGAAACCUAAUUUCUACUUGGGCUGGCAAGCUCUGAAAACUGAAACCGAAAACUAACAAAGCAAGACAAGCUAUAUUAAAUUGCUAGAUUGUAUGCAGUAUAUGAGAGAUAAAAAAGACUAGACAGGAUAUGGUGCCUGCUGUUGUUUGGGAAAUGAAAGUUAAUGCAGCAACAUGAAAAGGAGCUCAGUGCCUGUCUUGAGUGUGCCCUGUAUUUCUGGAUAGUCUGAGUUCUUGGGGUGUUCUGGAUCCUCUUCUCUGCUGAUUGACAGGGUUACUCUUUAGUGAUUUCUGUGCCCUGAGACACUGUUGACAGAGAGCUGAAGACUCAAUAAUACUCAUGUAGCUGGAAAGGAGGGAGUGGGAUGGUUGAGAGCAACAUGGCAUUGAUAAUCAUUUUCUUUCCCUGCUAAGGGCCAAUGUUACUGCAUGUUGUACUAGAGUUUCAAUGCUGCUCACAUCAAUAGGAGUUGAAAACUCUCUUUUCUCUUUCUCUGCCCCAUUCCCUUCUCAUUUUAUAUCUCUUUGUCUUUCACUUGAGUAGUUCCUUCUUUGGUCUGCAGUUCAUGAAUUUUGCCUUUGGACCGUGCAUAAGUGUAGGUAGGAAGAAAUGGAUCUGUACUGUGCAUGUAAAUACAGUAAACAUCUUUAUAUAAUGUGUGGUAAUUAUUUAUUCAUAGUGUAUGAACUGGGAAUUAUGGCCAAAAAGGCCAUGAAAACAGAAUAACUUUAUGUACCUUACAUUUUAUGUAUGACAAAAGGCAUUUCUCACAAAAGGUGGUACUUUUCCAAGUACUUGAAUCAAAAAUUAUGGAAGCCACUUGAUUUGAAUCUUAAUCCGUCUUCUUAAUAGCAGUAUGAUUUAUAUGUUGACCCUGUUGAACUUUAGUUUGUUCAUCUGUAAGACGGAGAAAAAUUCUGCUUUAUAUCUUUUUCAAAGACAUUAACUGAAAUUAUGUGUAUGGAGCUUUAUGCCCAGAACCUAGCAUUUAAUAGACAUUUAAUAAAUGCAAGUAAUCUCAUUUAUUAUGAAUGAUUGCAAGAACUUGUGCAUUAUUCAGAAUCUGGAAGCUAAGAAUUUUAGAGUCUCACUUUUUGGUCAGGUUCUACAGUGCUUUUCUAAAAAAAUCAAGUUAGAUGAUCUUUUUUCUAUUUUUUAAGCUUUUAUUUAAUAAAUAUAAAUUUCCAAAGUACAACUUUUGGAUUAUAGCGGCUUCUUUCACCCAUAACCACCCUCCCACCCACAACCAUCCCAUCUCCUGUUCCCUCUCCCAUCCUAUUCACAUCAAGAUUCAUUUUCAAUUAUUUUUAUAUACAGAAGAUCAAUUUAGUAUAUGCUAAGUAAAGAUUUCAACAGUCUGCACCCACACAGAAAAACAAGGUAUAAAGUACUAUUUGAGUACUAGUUAUACCGUUAACUCACAUAGUAUAACACAUUAAGGACAGAAAUCCUACAUGGGGAGUGAGUGCACAGUGACUCCUGUUGUUGAUUUAACAAUUGACACUCUUAUUUACAACAUCAGUAAUCACCUGAGGCUCUUGUCAUGAGCUGCCAAGGCUAUGGAAGCCUCUUGAGUUUGCCAACUCCUAUCUUCUUUCGACAAGGCCAUAGUCAAAGUGGAAGUUCUCUCCUCCCUUCAGAGAAAGGUACCUCCUUCUUUGAUGGCCCAUUCUUUCCGCUGGGAUCUCACUCACAGAGAUCUUCCAUUUAGGUCAUUUUUUUUUUUU